AAUGGGUUCUCUAUGGGGUCCCCUAUGGGGUCCCCAAAUUUGUUGUCCUAUGGGUUCUCUGUUGUCUCUACGGGACUCUAUGGGUCCCUAUGGGUCCCUAUGGGUCUCUAUGGGUCCCUAUGGGUCCCUAUGGGUCCCUAUGGGUCUCUAUGGGUCUCUAUGGGUCUCUAUGGGCCCCUACGGGUCUCUAUGGGUCCCUAUGGGUCUCUAUGGGUCUCUAUGUGUCCCUAUGGGUCUCUAUGGGUCUCUAUGGGUCCCUAUGGGUCCCUAUGGGUCUCUAAGGGUCCCUAUGGGUCUCUAUGUGUCUCUAUGGGUCCAUAUAGGUCCCUAAGUGUCCCUAUGGGUCUCUAUGGGUCUCUAUGUGUCUCUACGGGUCUCUAUGGGUCUCUAUGGGUCCCUAUGUAUCCCUAUGGGGUCUCUAUGGGUUAUAUGGGGGUGGGCAUCAAUAAGGGUGGCUAAUAGGGGGGUAAUAUGGGGGGGGCAUCAAUAAGGGGGUGCCCAAUAAUGGUCUCUAUGGGUCUCAGUGUAUCGCUAUGGGUCCCUAUGGGUCGCUAUGUGUCUCUAUGGGUCUCUAUGGGUCUCUAUGGGUCACUACGGGUCACUAUGGAGCAGCUAUGGGGCUCUAUAGGUCUCUAUGGGGCAGUUAUAGGUCAUUAUGGGUCUCUAUGUGUCCCUACGUGUCCCUAUGGGUCGCUAUGGGUCCCUAUGUGUUUCUAUGGGUCUCUAUGUGUCUGUAUGGGUCCCUAUGGGUCCCUAUGGGUCUCUAUGAGUCUCUAUGGGUCUCUAUGUGUCUGUAUGGGUCCCUAUGGGUCCCUAUGGGUCUCUAUGGGUCCCUAUGGGUCUCUAUUGGUCCCUAUGGGUCUCUAUUGGUCCUUAUGUGUCUCUGUGGGUCUCUAUGGGUCCCUAUGGGUCUGUAUGGGUCUCUAUGGGUCUCUAUGGGGUCCCUAUGGGCCUCUAUGGGUCUCUAUGUGUCCCUAUGGGUCACUAUGGGUCCAUAUGGAUCUCUAUGGGUCUCUAUGGGUCUCUAUGUGUCCCUAUGGGUCCCUAUGGGUCCCUAUGGGUCUCUAUGUGUCCCUAUGGGUCCCUAUGGGUCUCUAUGGGUCCCUAUGGGUCUCUAUGGGUCCCUAUGGGUCACUAUGGUUCCGUAUGGAGGUCCUUAUGGGUCCCUAUGGGUCUCCUAUGGUCUCUAUGUGUCCCUAUGGUCCGGCUAUGGGUCUUCUAAUGGGUUAUAUGGGGGGGGGCAUACAAUAGGGGGUAAUAGGGGGUUAAUAUGGGCCCUGGGGGGGGGGGCAUCAAUAUAGGGGGGGUCCAUUAAAUAUGGGGGGUAAUAGGGGGUUAUAUGGGGGGGGGGCAUCAAAUAUGGGGGGUAAUAGGGGUUAUAUAUGGGGAGGGGGGGAGCAUCAAUAUGGGGAAGGCAUCAAUAUGGGGGUGACCACAAUAAUGGUCUC
ensembl:lncRNA